GAAGGGCGGGUUUGCCUAUGACGUCCUUGAAGAGGGAGAGUAGUAGUAGAAUGAAGAGAGAACACACCACAUACACAACGGGGGAUAAAAAAAAUCGAAAUUCCUUAAUUCAAUCCUGCUAAAAUAAAAACAGGAGAGGACAUUCCGAUUAAAUUCCCGCUUUAAGAUAGGGCGAAUACAAAUGAAGUAUUGCGCCUAUCGGUGUGGUAGUGUCCUCCUUUUUGCCGUCAGGACGCAAUCUCUUCUUGUUGUUUUCACCAACCACAGGUCACCAACGACUGCAACAACAUUCACCCCUCAUUAUAUUUAACAUCGCGGCCCCUGCACGAAAAAGAUGUUCACAACAAAAACGAACGGACUAGUCGGCCACCAACACACGAUUGUGGCUCCUUCUUCGCUCCUGGGCCAAGGUUCUGAAUACAAGGGGGAACCUUACGGACACAAACUACACCCACAGUUGAAGCCAUUACCGUGCGGCUGCCUCUCACUGACGUAGCCUCUUUUCUUUCUUUUUUUUUUUUUUAUGUUGCUGCUCAUAUCUUACUGCGCAGCACUGUGCUACUUCCUUUUUGGCAGCGACUACGUCAGUGACAUCCUGCCCACCCCGUCUCAUCAAAUUAACCAGAUUUCCUUUCGUUACUCCCUCGAUUCCAUCAGGGGGAGAUUCUUUCGUUUUUAUCUUAUCGAGAUUGUCUCCGAUAAAAUGUAUUUGUUUAAAAAAAAUCUACGAAAGCAAAUAAAGAGUGAAAAAUUUGAAAGUAUUUGAGUUGAAUUUUGGCCUUGACUUGGCGGAAACCAGAUGACCUGAUGAUUAUUAUUGGUCCUAGAGUUUGUGUAGCGUGCAAACGUGCAGCGAUGGCGUCAUCGAUCCGUUUCUCCACCAUGCUGUGUGUGUGUGUAUAUAUACAGACGCACACACACACACACACACAUACGAAAUCUAUGUGGAAUGGAAGGGGCUGGAGGAAUGGCCGCUCCGCUUUCAGAUCGACGGACGAGACGGCGACGGCGCAGUUGAGUGAAGAGGGAGAAAUAUAGAAGGGACUAUCGACAACAACUCCGGAGCUGCGCAGUACACAGACAAGCACAUCCAGUUCUCUCUCUCUUUCUCUCUUUCUACUUGUAUUUUUGUUUUCUUCUUUGCUUCUUCUAUUUACUUCUAUUUUCCUUUAAACUUCGCCCCUCGUCAGCUGAUUUCCACACAGCUCCGUUAUCCAACCUCUCUCUCCAUUUCUCCCUUUCUAUCUUUUGGCUCUCUUUCGUGUUUGGUUGGCCCGUCCUUGAAACGGAGCCAAGAGCCGCAUUCUUGCACCUCCUCCUCUCUGGGGCCGUAGUAUACGUACUAUUAUUGUUUUCAUUUUGAAGCUCCACCCCUCCAUUUCUUUUCUUUUUUUUUUCGAUUCGUGCAGAAUAACAAUCUAACUUGAAAAAAAAAAAAAGAUUCGUGCCUUUUCUUCUGGCGCGUUUUCACCGCUGCUCCGCCUGCCACAAUGACGAAGAAGAUAGCCAAACUGAUAAGGAAAAAGAAAAAGAAAAAGAAAAAAAGUUGGAUUUUCCCUGGUGAGCUCCAAGGAUUGAUGUUCAAUAACGAGUCGGUAGAUGGCGAAGAGGUCGCGCAAAAGGGGAUCGACCGGUUAGCAACAACAACAAUAACACAGACACAUCCACUGCAGACACACAUUUGUAUGUGUUGUACAAUAACGAAUGAGCCUGAAAGAGCAUUUACCUGGCUCAAGUCGAGCACCAUUCCCGGGUUGUUGUGAUGGGAGGAAGCCGAAUGAAGGGCGGCUGCGGCCGCCGCUGCCGCUGCUGCCACCGCCACCGAUUGGGCUGCGAGCUGCUGGCCGUUACCGCCGCUGCCUCCGUUGUUAUUGCUGCCACCCGAUACGUUGUUGGAGCCGCUGUUGCCGGGCGAGAGUUGUUGUGGUUGUUGCUGUUGGUGAUGGUGUUGAGACGGGCCAGCUCCUGGUCUCUGACCGCCGCUAGAAGCGCUAGUUCCACCGUUGCCAUCACGGUACCGGCACCGUCUCAAAUGCGGACUAGAAUUUCAGAUAUCCAUUUCAUCGAGUUAAAAUUGAGUUUUAAAUUUGACGGUUUUAAAUUUAAUGGACGUUACAAAUUUUAAUCAAUGCUAAGAUUAAAAAACCACUACUCACCUGGGGACGCAACGGGCAGAACUUCUAGAUGAAUGCCUCCGUCGUUCGCGAUCUCCAGGAACGCCAGGACCUCCAACGUGCGGAUUGUGAUUCUCACGCUCCCUGGGAUGGGGCGAUGGUGCAACAACGGGCUGAGGCGCCGAUAAGAGUGGCGGGGACGGCGUAGUGCGAGACUCACCCCCUCCACCGCCGCUACCCAUCACGACCGCCCCUCCACCUCCCGAGGCCAGUCGAGCUCUUUUUCUACUGGGACUCGUACUCGCCUAUUACGUGUCAUUAUUUUGAAAGAAAAAUACAAAAUUUAGUUUAA
rnacentral:lncRNA from 1 species